rnacentral:misc_RNA from 1 species
UUGUGUGGUUAUGUUUCAAGACUGCGGUCGCGAUCGGUGGGCGCGGGCCCGCCGAAGCGACGCGGUGGAAUAGACAAAGGGUUGGAGAUCGGGCCCCGAGGGACCCCAACUCGGUAAUGAUCCUUCCGCAGGUUCACCUACGGAAA